rnacentral:lncRNA from 1 species
AAGCAUUUAAAGGCUUAAGCACCAAAUAAAAUCUAGUGCUAAACACAAAUCAUAAACAUGAAUAUGAGUAUUUUUAAAUUAAACUACACAUCACGAAGAACCUAGCAAAACAAGAAUCACAUUUUUCCCAUUUUUUUACAUUUACUUAUGCAUUUUCAAAAUUUCAGCCCUUUUAGAUCUACGAAAUAAAGAAAACCGGGAUCAACUUGCAAACUAGCCCCCAGAUCUCAGGUUCAAUCGUGCAAAGGUCCUUGGAUUUCUCCCAUACCCCCCUACACUUCUCCUUCUUCCUUCACGUCC